rnacentral:lncRNA from 1 species
CAAAGCCUUACUCACCACCAGAGAAUUCAUACUGGAGAAAAGCCAUACAAAUGUAAAGAAUGUGGCAAGGCUUUUAAUUCAAAAUAUCACCUUAGUGAACACCAGAGAAUCCAUACUGGAGAAAAGCCAUACAAAUGUAAAGAAUGUGGCAAGGCUUUUAAUCAUAAAUCACAAAUUUAUCAUCACCAGAGAAUUCAUACUGGAGAAAAGCCUUAUAAAUGUAGAGAAUGUGGCAAAGCUUUCAAUCAAACAUCAAACCUUACUAAACACCAGAGAAUUCAUACUGGAGAAAAGCCAUACAAAUGUAAAGAAUGUGGCAAAGCUUUUAAUUCAAAAUUUCACCUUACUGAACACCAGAGAAUCCAUACUGGAGAAAAGCCAUACAAAUGUAAAGAAUGUGGCAAAGCUUUCAAUUGCAAAUCACCCUGUACUCGACACCAGAAACUUCAUACUGGAGAAAUGCCAUACAAAUGUAUAGAAUGUGGCAAAGCUUUUAAUCGAAAAUCACAAUUUACUCAACACCAGAGAAUUCAUAGUGGAGAAAUUUCAUACAAAUGUAAAGAAUGUGGCAAGGCAUUUAAUCGAAAAUCUUGCCUUACUCAACACCAGAGAAUCCAUACUGGAGAAAAUUCAUACAGAUGUAAGGAAUGUGGCAAAGCUUUUAAUAAAAAAUCACUUCUUACUCAACACCAGAGACUUUGUACUGUAGAAAAGCCAUACAAAUGUAAAGAAUGUGGCAAAGCUUUCAAUGAAAAUUCAUUCCUUACUCAACACCAGAGAAUUCAUACUGGAGAAAAGCCAUACAAAUAUAAAGAUUGUGGCAAAGCUUUUAAUAAAAAAUCACUUCUUACUCAACACCAGAGACGUUGCACUGUAGAAAAGCCAUACAAAUGUAAAGAAUGUGGCAAAGCUUUCAAUGAAAAUUCAUGCCUUACUAAACACCAGAAAAUUCAUACUGGAGAAAAGCCAUACAAAUGUAAAGAAUGUGGCAAAGCUUUUAAUUAUAGAGAAAGCCUUACUCGACACCAGAGAAUUCAUACUGGAGAAAAGCCAUAUAAAUGUAGAGAAUGUGGCAAAGCUUUUAAUCAAACAUCAAACCUUACUAAACACCAGAGAAUUCAUACUGGAGAAAAGCCAUACAAAUGUAAAGAAUGUGGCAAAGCUUUCAAUUGCAAAUCACAUUGUACUCGACACCAGAAACUUCAUACUGGAGAAAUGCCAUACAAAUGUAUAGAAUGUGGCAAAGCUUUUAAUCGAAAAUCACAACUUACUCAACACCAGAGAAUUCAUACUGGAGAAAUGCCAUACAAAUGUAAAGAAUGUGGCAAGGCUUUUAAUCAAAAAUCAUGCCUUACUCAACACCAGAGAAUCCAUACUGGAGAAAAGUCAUACAGAUGUUAAGAAUGUGGCAAAGCUUUUAAUAAAAAAAUCACUUCUUACUCGACAUCAGAGACUUUGUACUGUAGAAAAGCCAUACAAAUGUAAAGAAUGUGGCAAAGCUUUCAAGGAAAAUUCAUGCCUUACUAAACAGCAGAAAAUUCAUACUGGAGAAAAGCCAUACAAAUGUAAAGAAUGUGGCAAAGCAUUUAAUUAUAGAGAAAGCCUUAAUCAACACCAGAGAAUUCAUACUGGAGAAAAGCCAUACAAAUGUUAAAAAUGUGGCAAAGCUUUUACUCAAAAAUCACAUCUUACUGUACAUCAGAGAAUUCAUACUGGACAAGAGACAUAAAAAUGUAAAGAAUGUGGCAAAG